GAUGAACGCUGGCGGCGUGCCUAAUACAUGCAAGUCGAGCGAACAGACGAGGAGCUUUCUCCUCUGACGUUAGCGGCUGACGGGUUAGUAACACGUUGAUUACCUACCUUUUAGACUUGGAUUACUUCUGGACACCGGGGCUAAUAUCGGAUAAUUUAUUUUACCCCAUUGUUCAAUAGUUAAAUACGGUUUUUCUGUCAUUUUUAGAUGGAUCCGCGUCUCAUUAGGCAGUUUGUAAUGUAACGGCUUACCAAGGCGACCAUUCGUUGGCGACCUGGGAGGGUGAACGGCAACACUGGAACUGAGACAGGGCCGAGAGUCCUACGGGAGGCAGGAGUAGGGAAGCUACCGAAAAGGGAGAAAGCCUGAAGGAGAAACGCCGCGUGAGUGAUAAAGGUCUUAGGAUCGUAAAACUUUGUUAUUGGGGAAGAACAAAUGUGUAAGUAACUAUGCACGUCUUGACGGUACCUAAUCAGAAAGCCACGGCUAACUACGUG
rnacentral:rRNA from 1 species